UACAGGGGGUGCAAACGUUGCUCGGAAUUAUUGGGCGUAAAGCGCGCGUAGGCGGCUACUUAAGUCGGAUGUAAAAGCCCUUGGCUCAACUGAGGAAGUGCACCCGAAACUGAGUGGCUAGAGUACGAAAGAGGGUCGCGGAAUUCCCGGUGUAGAGGUGAAAUUCGUAGAUAUCGGGAGGAACACCGGUGGCGAAGGCGACGACCUGGGUCGAUACUGACGCUGAUGAGCGAAAGCGUGGGGAGCGAACAGG
rnacentral:rRNA from 1 species